AGACCAUUAUCUGCAAAGGAGUUUGCAUGUUCUCCCUGUGCCUGUGUGGGUAUCCUCCGCGUACUCCGGUUUUCUCCAACACUCCAAAGACAUACUGGUGGGUUAACUGGCUUCUGUCU